GAAUGAGCUAACACAGAGAAACAGACAGAUAGAGAUGCUUUUUACUGAUAGGUUUUGGUUCUAAACUUGAUCUCUGGCCCAAGCUUCAUGGAUAAGAUAACAAACAAAUCCACUGUACCAAAGGUUAAUCCAUACACUCAUAGUGUUUUAUGGCUCAGUGAUUUCUGUAUCAUUCACUGCUGGCUGAGUAUCCAGGUGUAAAUGUGUAUCUAUGGGGAUGGAUCAUCCCCAGUAAGAUGGUAAAUGAUGUUAUUGAAGAAGGCAGACACAAUCAUGUUAUAGAUCUGUUAAAAUUCCCUGAUGACAACAGCCCAAGAACAAAAAAUACCUCGUAAAUGUAUUAAACUGUGUUAAUUUUUAAAGGAAAUCGUUUCUGGCGUCGUACUGGAUUGCAUAAUGUCACAAGGCGUGCCUCGUGUUUGCUCUCUGAUCACCAUAUUACUGCUGAUCGCUGACAACUUUAUGAUUACCACAGCAGAUUUGAGAACGCUUUUAUCUCAGGAUCACAAGAAGUCAGCCUUGGCUGUGUCGUGAUCACAAGAAAAUGAAGCUUGCCGUUUGGAGAUGACUAGAUAUUCAUUUCACACAACAUAAUUGCUGUAUGAUCUUCUGCGUGUCAACCCAUUAACGUCUGGAUUAUUUCUUCGGAUUGAAUGCGCCACUUCUUGAACAUAAAGCAACUGUAUCUCCAAAAAAUGCACUGAUGAGUAUAAACAAAGUGUGGCAAAGAGACAGCAAGUGAUUUUCCUACUCAAAAAUAAAGACAUAAUGCUAGGAUGGUGCUGCAGUCUUUGGCAAUGUAUGCAGGUCACUCUACACAAUUUUUCAUAAAACGACAGCAUCCCGGCACAGAUGACAGACUGUCAAGAGGAACGACACACUGACAGUAAAACAUGAGCAGCUUCACUGUGAUGACAGGACUGGCGAGAAAUACAUUAAAGAGUAAUUUGUUGGAUCGCUGUCAGGAAUCAGAGGAGACAACUCACUGUGGUGCGGCAGCCAUGUUGACGUGCUGGUCCAGACUGUCACGUGCGGGCUGGUGUCACUGGUGUUGUUACAGUGGAAACAGUAGGGGGAGACGGAGCUCUCUUCUGUCACAGUGCAGCAUCCCGGCACAGAUGACAGACUGUCAAGAGGACUGACACACUGACAGUGAAACAUGAGCAGCUUCACUGUGAUGACAGCGGCCCUCUGGCAUCGAGGAAGUGUGUUCUGCUGGAAGUACAAAGCAGGUCCCAGGGACGCCAGGCGUUGAGCCACCACGGUCACUGUAGACUGCGCGCCAAUUCCCCUGCAUCCUAAAUUUUAUCUCUAGUGCCAGCUGUAAGUUGCGCUGAUACAGUUGAACUGCUCAGCUUUGAACCCUUGACUUUACCCCUUGCGGGUGUUGGACAUUUGCAGGGGAAGGAGGAGCAUCUUCAAAGACACUCAGGACAACAAAGGGCAGAAAAUAAAUGAGAGAAAGUAGGGUGGCUGUAGUGUAACAUUCUGCUAAAUUACAUUAAAAACUGAAAUAAGUUCAGCAGCCAUGGUAAAUAUUAGAGAGUUGCUGUUUUCUCUGAUCAAAUACUUUCCACUUUGUCUCUAACCACUUCCCUUGAGCAAGGCACUUAACGCUUUACAAGCAAGACAGAGAUUGUUGAGGGCGGCUCCCAGACGUCGAGAAUAUGUCUGCAUGGGGAGCAGAGUUUGCCACUUGUGUAAAAACAAAAGCAGUGAUUUUUCCUGUAUUUUGGCCCAAAUAUCAUUAUUAUGGAGAACAAAGGUAUGUAUCAUAAUGCAGGAAUUAUGUAGUAAGUUUCUCUGAACAAUUUGAGAGUUUUGAUCCAUUUCAAGUUCAGUUUUAAUCAUCAGAAAUCCAACGUACAGACCUUUUUACUUUUUCAAGGCGACAGGGAACGAGAGGCCGGACAUCCUCAAAGAAGAGAUCAGAUCACUUCAAGUUUCCUUCCAGAAACUAAUUCUAUCCUUCUACGAAAAAAAAAAAAAGAAAAAAGAAAAUGCUUCAGUCAAUUAGGCAGAUAGUGGAGUCUGUCGAGAAGCACAAUUGACUUGGAUUACUUCCUGUCUUCAGAUGACCAGAAGAGGGUUUAAUUAAAACACAAAAACGCUGCCUGAAG